CUCUCUCCUUCCUUCUACAUUAACUUCUUCUUACUAUUCCCUUUUUUGUCUCCACUUUUGUCUACUCUGUUCUCCCAUUUCCUUUCUUCCCCCUUUUUCAAGGCCUGGUUGCCAGAGUCUCUCGGGAGGCAGUCCUGAAGGGUAAAGCAGUCCAGGAAGGCUGGGCAUUCUUCAGGAAGGAAAUCAGUUUCUGGAGUGCUGAAGCAGACCUUGCAUUGGGACCAUUACUUGCUAUGAAGGUAAAGAAACUGGGGCAAGAGUCUCAUGUGGGGUGACUGGAAGUGAAACUGCUGCUUAGAAGGAGUCAGAACAUACCUGACCAUCAUCAGUGUCCUUUACAAAAAACAGAGGCCAAGAGAGCUGUCAUUCAAAAAAUGAAUGGAAGGAGAAGUCAAGGACCAUCUCUUGAAUAAUUUGAUCUCCUCCUCUACUUGAAAGAAGGAAGCAGUGACACCAAGUAGUACACCUGUCAAAUUGUCCAAAGAGCAGAAGAUGGAUCAAAUUCCUCUUUUCCCAUGAAAACAGAAUUAUUUUGAAGCCUCAAAUGCAAAACCCAGGACUAUGCACCCCAAAAAGCCCCACUAUGCAAACAGGGUAGCAUAGUGUGUAGGGUGCUCACCUGAAGAGGAAAGUUUGGUUCUACAUAACUCAGUGUUAGUAGUCUGCUAAUUGAAAAAUAGAACGAAUAUUAUUUAUUGGCU